GAUGAACGCUGGCGGCGUGCCUAAUACAUGCAAGUCGAACGCGCAGCGAAAGGUGCUUGCACCUNUCAAGCGAGUGGCGAACGGGUGAGUAACACGUGGAUAACCUGCCUCAAGGCUGGGGAUAACAUUUGGAAACAGAUGCUAAUACCGAAUAAAACUUAGUAUCGCAUGAUACAAAGUUGAAAGGCGCUACGGCGUCACCUAGAGAUGGGUCCGCGGUGCAUUAGUUAGUUGGUGGGGUAAAGGCCUACCAAGACAAUGAUGCAUAGCCGAGUUGAGAGACUGAUCGGCCACAUUGGGACUGAGACACGGCCCAAACUCCUACGGGAGGCUUCAGUAGGGAAUCUUCCACAAUGGGCGAAAGCCUGAUGGAGCAACGCCGCGUGUGUGAUGAAGGCUUUAGGGUCGUAAAGCACUGUUGUAUGGGAAGAAAUGCUAGAAUAGGGAAUGAUUCUAGUUCGACGGUACCAUACCAGAAAGGGACGGCUAAAUACGUGCCAGCAGCCGCGGUAAUACGUAUGUCCCGAGCGUUAUCCGGAUUUGUUGGGCGUAAAGCGAGCGCAGACGGUUGAUUAAGUCUGAUGUGAAAGCCCGGAGCUCAACUCCGGAAUGGCAUUGGAAACUGGUUAACCUGAGUGUUGUAGAGGUAAGUGGAACUCCAUGUGUAGCGGUG
rnacentral:rRNA from 1 species